CACUUUUGGAGAGAUCUCUGUGCAGUCUCACCAGGACACUGUGGGUGGAGUCUCCUGUUCAGCGAAUGACGGAGCUCAGAUGUGAUUGGUGCUUAGUGAUUCUGGUGGAACACACUGACUGUGAGAGCAAAAUUUGCCUGGACCCAAGACUUUACACCCUCCUGAAUAGGCGCGAAGGCACCCAGCAACUGGGCAAAGAGUCAUGAAGAGACACUGGGGAGCUCUGCUGGGGUUUCUGUGGCUUCAGGUUUGCUGGGUGCGAGGGGUGAAUGUGGAGCAGAGUCCUUCAGCCCUGACCCUCCAGGAGGGAACCAGCUCCACUCUGAGGUGCAAUUUUUCUACCACAGUAAACAAUGUGCAGUGGUUCAGACAGAAUCCUGAGAGCGGCCUCAUCAAUCUAUUUUUCACAGCUUCAGGGACAGAGCAGAAAGGAAGAUUAAACUGCACAGUGAAUUCUAAGGAACUGUACAGUACCCUGCACAUCACCUCCUCCCAACUGGAAGACUCAGCCACCUACCUCUGUGCAGUGAGGCACAGUGCUCCCAGGUGAUCUGCAGCCUGUGCCCAAACUGCAGCUGGGCCUGCAGCCCCACCCCUUCCAUGGGGUGGGUAUGUUGUUUCCACAGGAGAAUGUGCAUACCUUUGGGUUUUCAGAUUCAUGUUCUGGUACUUUUUUCCCUCCUGAAAUUAAACCCUUCAGGACUGUA